ensembl:lncRNA
GGCAGUGGCAGCACGGAGUGAGAAUGGCUAGGAUGGGAAAAUUCUGGGGUCUAUGACUUCACAUGGAGCUCAGGAGAGGGGGCAUCCAGCCUGCUCCUGGAUGCCAAGAAGGCUGCAUGGAGGAAGCAGCAUCUAGGCAGGAAGGAUGAAUGAGUUUGGCAGAGGCAAUAGAAAAGAUAUGUGCAAGGCAGUGGAAACAGCCUGUACAAAGGCUUGGAGUCUUCAGAAGUUACUGAGGGCCACUCAUCUGGGGCAGCUCACCCUUGGCUGUUUGGCUGCAUUUCGUUCUGUGACUGCAUCAGGCUCAGAGAGUCCGAGCAUUGGCUCAGCCUUAAGGGAGACUACGGAUUGGACUAGAGGUGUCCCUGUAGACGGAAGCCAGCUCUAGAAGCUGAUUGAACUCGAGUCCACAGUGAUGCGGUGUGACCAGAUGUUAUCGCCUGCAGAGGCCCCGGGACCUGGCCGUCCCCUUCGUGAUGCUGAGAUGGAACAGCAGGCACCUGAAACCCUGUGUCAUCCGCGUGUGUUCCCGCGUUUGGGUCUUCUUCCUCAGAAGGAAGCUACGCCGGCGCAGGAGGCAUCGGUCCUCGGACAUCUGAGUGAGAGACUCCAGAACGCAGGCCAGGAGGGCGAGCAGGCAGUGUCACAGCGGGGCGGGCGGAGGAGGGCGUGGAGGAGAAGACCCAGGGGCUGGGACAGUGGCCCAUUCUGGAAGGACGGCUGUCAGGUGUGUGGGGGGCCCGGUGCGAGGCGGGAAGGGGAGCGUGAGGCCAUGGAGGCCCCAGGGCAGGAGCCCAGAGAAGCACCCUCUGUGCUGUGCUUCCUGAGGAGCCGGCCUCCAUCCUGGGGGUCGUGGGGCCACGGGAUCUCUGUGCUCCCCACUCCAUCCCUAAACUCCUGGAGGGAGCCUGCUCCUCCUCGGAGCACCCGCAGUCCCGGGGACUCGGCCUCUUUCUGAGCCGGCGCUCCUCACUCCCUCUCUCUCACUAAUUGCUCUGUUUUCCUUCCACUUCACAAGUGGGUUGGCUGGUAACACUGAAGUCUGUUUUAUAUACAUAUAGAUAGUCAGCAAACACAAAAUGUGUGGUGAGCUACGUUCCAUCUUUGUGUUAACACACAAAAGCAAGAAAGUUCCAAGUUAGAGCAUCUGCAGUUCAGCCCCGUGUGCAGCAAGCCAUAUGGCGUAAACAUGCAUUGGAAGACAGCAGAAGCGCAUCCUCGCGGCCUCCCCGAAGAGCCCCCGCAGCGAGCACGGCCACAGCCCCCCGCCUGUCCUAGCCACGGCUAGCCAGUGUUCGCUCAUUCAUUCAUCAGACAUUCAGUGAACUCCUGUCCUGUGCUGAGGACCAUCCCCUCACCAGGGGUAAGGGGACCAGGACAGGCAGGGAUCUGUCCUCAGUGGAAGAGGGGUCAGGACGCCAGUGAGUAAACCAGUAGAUGAACACGAUAGGACGGGUCCCACCAGUUACAAGAACUGGUGUGGAGGUAAGCGGGGGAUGUGAUGGGGCCCACAGAGAAGGGGCGCAUCACUCAGGUGAGCGGUUCCGGAGGGCUCUUCUCCACAGGAGCUGUUUGAGCGGAGGCCUGAAGCAUGAGGAAAAUCCAGCAAGAGCUGUGGGGAGAGUACCCAGGCUGAGGGGACAGUGUAUGCAAAGGGCCAGUGUGGGAAUGACUUUAGUGUGUUGGUGGCACAGCGGGGUGGCUGGAGUGAGGGAGGGAGAGGGGUGAGCCAAGGGGGCGAGAGGCAGGCAGGACGGGGGCCCGGCCGCUGCGUGGAGUAGGGAGUUUGGACUUUCCCCUAAUGCUGCUGGAAGCCCUUGAAGUGUUUAAGCAGGAGAGUGCCUCAUCUGAUUGACACAUGGAAACAUCACUCCGCUGCAGAGCAUGGACAGGAGAAGCGGGCCUGUCCUGGAGGCAGAGAGACCAGGGUCCCAAGCCAGGCAGGACGGCCGCGCCGCCUAAGCUGCAGCAAGGUGGCGUGGACACUCGGGGUCGCGUGUUUGCAAGUACAGUGGGGGCGCUGCCAGCGCCUGCUGAGAAAGAAGGCACACCCACAGCUCCCACUCCCUGCAGGCCAGGGCCCUGUUGGGGUCCCUCUCGGGGAAGACCUGGUCUUCCUUCCUGGCCCCUCGCCUCCGUGUCAUGAGCAUAGUGACAUGUCACAGUCGUUCUGCCAGGUGGAAGUUCAGGGAGGGGAGGCCCCUGCCUAAGAGCACGCGGUGACCGGGACCCCCUCUGGAGGAUCCCUCCCCACAGACUGCCAGGCCCCUGGCUGUCGUUGGUGGCGGGGCCCGUUGCCUCCCCUGGGCAGAGGUAAGAGCUGGCUGUGGCUGGGAUCAGGAGGCAGAGCCCAGAGUGCUGAGCAGCGUUAGGAGGUGCCCGGGCUCGGGGGCUGCAUCCCUGGCCUCCGUUGGUGGCUGCCCAGGGCUGCCAGAGAGGCGCGCUGUGGCCAGGUGGCUCUCUGGUCCGGGUGAUCCCAGUGGGUGGACAGGCCCCUGCAGGGCAGCCAGGGCAGUGGGGUCCCCGCAGGGCCGCCAGCUCAUGUCCUCUGCUACCGCAGACGGCCCCUUGCGAAGCCACAGCUUUCCUUUCCUAAAGCAGGAGCAGCCUAAGGCCCAGGGCCCCCUGGGGGGGCUCCCUUUGCGCGCCAACAGCUGAAGGGGCAGAGAUGAAUGCACCCCUCCUCCCAGAAGCCCGGCCUGCUGGACGGCCUGCAUCGACCACGCUGGGUGCCUCGCGUCUGUGCCUCCAACCGCGCGGCGCCUCUCCAGUGUGCCCAGGCCAGACACAGUCCUGCCUGGGGGUCCACAGGCGUGCCCCUGCCCGGACUGGGUUGGGAACGCUGGGGAGAGCCGGCGGUGCCAGGGCGGCAUGUAACACACACCGUCCUUGACAGCCUCAGGCCGACCCCGUGUCAGGGCCACUCCAGACCAGACAUGGCCAUGGAGGUCACAGCAGCCCUCAAGGUUGCCAGCUGGGCACGGUGGAGCACGGGCACACACUGAAAACAGGAACAGGGUUCUGUGGACCCUGAACUGUACCCAGGAGGAGGGCAGAUGGGGAGGAAGGCUCCUCUGAGGAGCUGAGGCUUGAGCUGACAGGUAAGAGAUGAGAAGGAGUUGACAGGAAAAGGAGAGGCCCUAAGGGGAGGGAAGGGCGUGGAGAAGGGCCUGGGAUUGGCGAGAGCAGGGCUCGUUUCAGGACCUGGGUGGAGGUGGGGGCCGGGAGGCUCAGGCUGCGGUCCAGGCCACGGGGAGUGCGUCCUGAGCCUCGGGAGGUGAGCAGCGGCGCACCUCCUGGGCCAUGUGGAGAAUCGGCUUCCGGGGCAGUGGGGCCCUGGAGGUGCCACGAAUGGCGGGGAGAGGACGGCAGCCAGCCUGGGCCUGGAGGGGCCGUGGGAAGCAGCUAGAUUCAGUGCUGUUGGCAGUAAGGUCUGCUUGGCUUGGGUGGACUUCCACUGGGGAACAAGAACCUGGGCAGGGUCCAGAGUGUCUGUUUCUGACCUGCAGAACGACUCUAAUGACACCCUUCACUGGGGGGAGAAUCCGGAGACAUUCAAGGUCUUGGGAAGUAACACAAAGGCAAAGUGACAUUUUUUCUCUGACUUUUGUAUGUCGAAUAUAUCAAAAUAUCGAAAGAACAGUAUCAUGAACACCUGUUAACUUCAACCUGGAAUCAUCUGCUGUUGAUAUUUUGCUGUAGCUGCUUUUUCUCACCAUUUCUGUGCUCUCACACCCACAUUCACACGCGCAUGCACACAAACACAUUGUUUGCCGUCCAUCAUGACAGUUGCAGACAUCAGGACACUUCACCCUAAACACUUCUGCUUGUUCUCCCUAAGAAGAAGGACAUUCUCCUCAUAAACACCAUAGCAUUUUCACACCUAUGAACCUUAACAAUUAUCCCAUAGAACUGUUUGAUAUCUAAUCCGUGUCCAAUUCCCCCAGUUGUCCCCGGAUUUCUGUUUUCAGCCAAGAUCCAGUCAAAGUCCUGCGCUGCUGUUGGUUGUUGGCUCUGCUCCUUGGUCCCUUUCGGCGCAGAGCAGCCCCUGCCCCACCCCAUUCUUGCCGUGACGUUGGCUCUUUGACAAGCCCAGGCCAGUCAUCUUGUAGGACCUCGUCUGCUCUGGCUUUGGGUGAUGGUUGCCAUUCUUUUGCUUUUUCUCUUUUGAGCAGCUUUAUCGAGAUAUGGUUCACAUACCAUACGUUCACCCAUUUAAAGUGAACAAUUCAGUGGCUUUCUGUAUAUUCACAGAUAUGUGCAACCUUCACCACAGUCAAUUUUAGAACCUUCUCAUCACCUCAAAGAAACCUGUCCCCCGUUCCUCAUCCCCCAGCCCUGAACAGCCCCUGAUGGGUUUUGUUUCUUCAGAUUUGUCGUGAGAAUGGAAUCACACAGUGUGUGGUCUUUUGUGACUGGCUCCCUCCACUUAGCAUAAUGUUUUCGACGUUCUUCCAUGGAGCAUUCCCUUUUAUGAUCAAAUAACGUUGCAUUGUGUGGGUACCCCACGCUCCGUUCAUCCGUUCGCCCGCUGAUGGAUGUCUGGGUUGCUGCCACCUUUUGGCUAUUGUGAGUAGCGCUGCUGUGAGCACUUGGGUGCAGGCUUCUGCGCGGGCGUGGGUUUUCGCCUCUCUUGGGCGUAUGUGCCCAGGAGUGGAAUGGCUGGGUCAGAUGGUAUCUCCAUGUUUAGCCACUUGAGGAACUGCCAGGCUGUUUCCCAAAGCAGCGGCACCAUUUUGCAUCCUUCUCUCGGCAGCGUGUGAGGGCUCCCAUUUCUCUGCAUCCUGCCCGGCGCUUGUCAUUAUCUGACUCUGUGAUGCGGUUCUUCCCACCUUCCUCGCUGGAGGCUCCUCUCUGAGCGGCCAGCUCCCCUCCUGCAGCCUCAGCCCCUGGCCUAGGCCUCCCCAGCCCCAGACUGGGGAGGAUGCAAAUGGCACGUGGGACUGCAUGGCAGUGCUGUCUCAUCUUUGUAGUUCCCCAGAUCCCACUCUUUCCUACCACACUUUCACUCAGCGCCUCCAAAAGAUCCCCAGGAAGCAGCAGGGCACGAGUUGUUAAGUCAGGGAAGCUGAGGCCUCAGAGGGGUGAAGGUUGCUGGAGACCGGGCCAGGGCUCCUGGGCCUGCCCUCUGGGUGCUGCGGCUGCCCUGCUGGCCCUGCAGGCUGUCCUGUGUGGCACUGGGGAAGGUGGCAGGAACGAGGAGUCUCCGGAGAACAGGUGACCCAGGAAGCAAGCCUCUACUCCAAAUUGCGUCCCAGAGCCCCUCCCGAAGAAUGCUUUUGCUGCCCCCCACUGUUUACCAAGGAGGUGCCGACGCCCUGGGGACCAGGCAUCUCGGGGAACAGCCAGGCUGAAUGAAGCAGCCUGUGGCCCAGCCUGAAAGGCUUAGGGCUCGGCCAGCUUGAGGAGGCCAGGCACGACAUGGUGGGCCAGCCUCUGCCAGCCUGUUGGGACUGCAGCCAGGCUUCUCCCCUCGGGAUGGUGCCCGAGUCAGAGCAAGGCUGCCCUCCUACGUGACUGCCCACCCCGGGCUGCAGCCUUGGGGUCUGUGUUCCCGCUGACCAGGUAAGGCUGGAGCAGGGAGGGUCUACCCUGGUAGGGACGCCCCUCCUAGAGCCCAGGUCUCCUAUCCCACCCCUGCCCCGACCCUGAUGCCCCUGGGACUCUAACCUCCUCUUCUUUCCUCCUGCUGUUUCUUUCCUAGCCUGUGUGUCUGUCCAUCUUCAUCUGUCACCAUCCCAUUCAAGGCCCGGCCGCACGCCACCUCCUCCAGAGAGCCAUCCUCCCUCUGCCCUCCUCUGAAUCGCAUGGACAUCUGCACCUUCUGGCGCCUACUGCUCUGUGUUCUAGGUGAUCGGGCCUGUGACUUAUGGUCCUAACGGAUACCAAGUGUUCUCCUUGAGGACAGGACCAGUCCCGCUCACCUCUGCCUUCAUUAUUAUUUGGUCAGAAUUAUUUUGGUUGCCAGUAACAGCAUCUUAGCUCAAACUGGCACUUUACUGAUGCAUGUUACUGAAAGUCUCGGGGCUUCAGGUACAGCUGGGUCCAGGGCCGCAUUCAUCAGGGCUGUGUCCAUCUCUUGGUCUUGCUGUCUGGCAGGUUCUCCCCAUGUGGUGAGGAUGGCCAGCUCAGCUAUCCCAGCAGAAGCCCCAGACUUGGCGUCCAUUGGUUGGGCUUGGGGCAUGUGCCCACUCCUGUGUGAGUGAUUGUCCACAGAGCAGCUGUUCUGAUUGGUCAGGCUUGCAUCAUGUACUCACCUUAGAGUUGGGGGUGCUGCCAUGGACCAAGAGUAGGGGGCAGGGUGCCUCCCAAGGGAAAUUGUGACCGCUGGGGGGCGAAACUGUAGGAGCCCCAGAGAUGAUCCUCCCUGACUCCUUCCCGACUCUUGUUGCCCCAUUCGGGGGUCGGCAGGUCUUACAUACCUCCCUCCUGGGGACUUCUCGCACUCGGUCCUUGUUCUCAUCAGGAACUUGCCCCCUGCCCCACUCCGCUCCCAGCCCACCAUUGUCCACCCUCCCUGCAGCAGCCAAAGGGGACUUCCUAAAGCAUAAGCAAAUCACAUCCUGCCUAAAACCCUCGAUGGCUCCCCAUUUCCCCCUGAACGAAGUCCAUUCUUCUUAAGAAAGCAUGCCCAGCCCUUGGUGAUCUGGGCCCGUGCCCCUCCAGCCCCGUUUCCCUCUGUUCCUUCCUCCCUCUGGGACUCAAUGCUCUAAGCUCCUCAAACCACCUCGAGUUGCCCCAUGCCUCUGCCUGGGAUGCCCUUUCCCAGCUUGUCUGACUGGCAAAUCCUUCCUCUUCAAUACCCAGUUCUGUCAUCAUCUCCUCCAGGAAGGCUUCCAGGACUUCCGUGAGUAGUUAAGACUGCCAUCUGCUAGGCAGCCACAGCUGUUCUUCCCUCUGAGCCAGGCCAACUGGGGAUUUCACCCUCUGGCCCCUGCUUGCCCUUGAGUGCUUCUUCCCGCUCCCUCCCCGGUGCCUAGCUUGGAGCCAGGCCCAGCGAUGGCUCCUGGGCAGUGCCUGUUGACAGAUCUGAGGGCCCAAGGGAGUGGGGAACCUGGGUGGGCCCUGACUGCCCUGGGGAAGACGGAGUUACAAGCUUCCUGCUGAGGCCCCUUUUGCCCUCAGCUUAGAAGCCACCUCCUUCACAUGGCCUUCCCGGCCCAGCCUCUGAGAUGUCGCCCUCCAGUCACCUUAUCAUAUCUCUGGUUGUAGCCUGGCUGCUAUUUUCCCUGUUUGUUUACUUCUUGUCUCUUUCAGCCCCUGACACUCACGAGCUUGUCAGUUCCACGAGAGCAGAUUUCAGGAUCUGCCCUCUUCCAGUACUUGGCAUGGUACCCCUCACCAAAGGGGCCCAGGAAAUGGUCACUAAAUGAAUGACCUCCGGCACCCUCCCCGUUGGACCCACCUUUGGGAGGAAUUGUCAUGGUUCCCAGGUUGAGGGGGCUGGUUCCAAUGGGGGAAGCUCCAGUUGCCUUGGUGGCCCUCUCCCCUGGGGACCCCCGUCUACCUCACAGCCCAAGCCUUUGGAUGGCAGAGGUAUUGGAAUGACUCAUUCCAGGUGGGGCAUCUCAAGACCUAAUUCUCAGCAAAACUCCCAAUAACACCAAAGCAGAAGAACCUGCAGGUGGUGGGGACGGGCUGAGCUCCCCUGCCCCGGCUCCCUCUAGCUGACCUUCCAGGAGGCUCACAGGCUCCCCUAGCCUCACCAUCCUGUCUGUACAGCCUUGGGCCUUGCCUUCUCUUUCUCCCCCCCUCUCCCCGCUCUGCUCUCUUUCUUUAUCUUCUUCCUUUUCCCCUAUCAUCUUCCCCAUCCACUGCACAGCAGAUGGCACAGAGUAGGUGCACAACAGCUAUCUGUUAGUUGGUUCAAUUUAUAACAUUUUCCUUUUAUUGGGAAAGAGAUGGAGAUACCCCCUCCCAACCUUUCCCCUCAUCUUCCUCCACGGCCAAGGUUCCUGAUGCAGAGUGACUUGACACCUAGGUGUCAGUCCGCCCCUUCUCUUUCGUUUGGUUCAUUUGUCCAUCCACUCAUCUAACUAUCCACCCAUCCAUCCAUCUCUCCAUCCAUCCACCCAUCUAUCCAUCUGUCCAUCCGUCUACUCAUCCCUCCAUCCCUCCAUCCAUCUACUGGGCAUGGACUGGCCCUGGAUUAACGUGACACAGUAGGCGGGGCAGUGAGUGGAGGGAUAAGACAAACGCACACCCAGAUGUACUGGAAGUGGGGACUACAAACUCAGGUGCAGGUGGGAACCGAAGUAAGCUGGGUGUAGGACAGCCAGGAUGGUGCCUGCACAGGUAUGGAACUUCUGAACCCCUAGGCUCACAUCACAAAAUACCUCCUCAGCCUGCUAAUGGUCUGCUGGCUGUCAGUCUGUGAGUCCCACCUGGAGCGACAACAGGAAGCCCAGCCAAGGGGGAUACCUCACAUGGUUGGGGGCAGGAAUGGGGGCACUAGGCAGGGCUUCCUGGAAGAGGAGACAUUUGCACUGGACCUGAAGGCUGAGUCCACAAGCCCAGGAUGGAGGCUUUGCAAGGAGAGGGAGUGGCCUCCUGGCAUCACAUUUCCUGGCCCAAACACAAUGUUUGUAUGUUCAUGGACAGCCUCUGACUGUCCUGCUGCUUCCUCUCCCUCCUUCAACUCAAGGGCGAAGGAGAGUGACUGCCUGCUGUUCCGCUCCUCUCUGCCCAGGUGCCCAAUGGCACUGUGGAGGAGAAGCACGCGCACCUGAACAAGAACUCAUGGGCAGGGGCCUCGUCUGUCUUGUUCACUGCUACAGCCAGGACCUAGAGCAGGCGCUCAGUGAACACUUGCUGGGUGACCAAACGGCUGGAGAUGGCCCACACUGAAUGAAGGAAUGCACAGAUGAGGCGGGUCAGCAGGCUUCAUAGCGAUUUGGGGUGGGUGGACUGUCCUAGCUCAGACUGCGAUGGGGAAGGCAAGGGCAGAAACCAGCUUAUUUUGCUUUUCCUUUCUUUUAAAGGAAUUAUUAGUCUUUAGUUAGAGAAGCAUGCACAACUGCAUCCUCGUGGUCAGAAAAAGGAUGCAGACACUACAGGGCAGGCCCAAGGCCCCCUGUCUCCCCAGCUCCAGACCUCACUCCGGUUCCACAGGUGGACGUGGUGGAGUGUUCCCUUCCACCGCCUUCUCUGCACGUUUGAUGGAUUUGUGUGCGUGUGUGUGUCGUGUGUGUUUGGUGCCUGUGUGUGGAUGUGGCCAAUCACAAUACAUGGCAUCGUUUUGUCAGAUUAAAAAAAAAAAAUAGGUGGAAUUGCACGGUGUGUGCUGUCUGCACCUUCCUUCUUUAGGCUUGCUUUCUUUUUCGGGAAUAGCAUUUCCUGGAGCUUCCUUUUCACAGGGCACCCUUGUCCUUUUUCCUCGCUGCUGCCGUAGCCUGAGGUUGCACAGCUCCUUUUUGUCUUGACCCUCCUGCUGUCAACUUAGGAUGCUCCUAAUAUUUGUUCCCGUGGAGACAGUGUCCGCAAAUGUACUUCUGCCCCCCUCCUUGUGUCCCCGUGUCAUUUCUGGGUCAUGGAUUGGCAUGGCUAUCUCUUUCCUGAUGAUCCCAAAGGAAAGAAGGCCCCUCCGUGCUGCCCUGCCCAUACCCGCCUGUCCUUUGAGCCUCGGUGUCAGGGAGGCCCUGGAAGAACAGGCCCUGGAGAUGAGGAGUACAGGUGUGAAGGGCCCGGUCCCUGGAGGAGGGGCCUUCUGACAGGGCCUUGACUCAGGCUGGAGGUACUUCCCCAGUACCCACUCUGCGCCAGGCCCAGGACACGGCACUGAGGUGUAUUGGCAGCCCCAUGCCUGCUUCGUGGGGCUCCCAGUCCACCACGUGUUUGUGUAGGUGCUGGGCUGGGGGCCCGAGGUAAGGACUGGGUGGGGUGGCUGCCAACCCCAUAAUGGUGGCCUGGAACGAGUGACUUCUGUAGGAUCACAGAGACUGGGCACGUGAGGAGGUGGAAGAUCACUUCACCUCCUCCUGCCCAGCACCUCUGCAGUCUGAUGCCCAGUGCUCACAAGCCCUCCACGCUCCCCUGUCUUCGGCCCCUCCCUUCAUCCAGCACUGAAAAGCAUCUCUAAUUCCGGCGGGCACCGUGGUUGUAGCUCUGUGGCAAGCUCGGCACAGGUGCCAACUGUUAUUCACUCUGCAGCUUCCAUUCCCACAGCUCAGCACCUGCAAAGCCCCCAUUAGCAUCGUGCCAAGGAGAGGGGCUGCGGCUGUGUGUGUGCGUGCCUGCGUGCGAGCGCACGUGCCCGUCUGCCGGUGCUCGCGGGAGCCACGAGGGAAAUUUCCAGCACAAAGAUCGUAUGCCUGAGAGAGAGGAGAAUUGCUCAGCAAACUUCAGAAGCGAUCAAAAUGUCCUCUCCAUAAAGUCCCGGCUUAAAAAAUGUUAGCAGUGCUUACUGAGUGCCUCGUGUGCAGGGCCCUCUUCCAGGCCCUGUGCUCAUGGCGAUGCUGAGGUCCCUCCCGUGGGGAGAAGCAGGCAAUAACGAAGGGACGAAGGGAAGGAGCGAUCACUGCUACAGAGGAAGGAAAUCAGAGUGACUGGAAGCGGCUAGUCAGGGAAGGCUCUGUGAGGGACUCUGGAGCCCAGCAGCCUGACAAGAAGGGGCCAGCUCGAGGGAGACAGCCAGGGAGGGAGUGGCAGGAGCCGUGCUCUGGGUCCUGUGGACACUAGUGACGCCUGUGCUGUGAUGUCCAGGGAAUGACCAAGAAGCACGAGGUGCUGGGGCUCAGCCCUCUAGCUGGGACAGGCGGCUUCCAGCGAUGGCUCUGCCACCUACAGCCUUGUGAGCUCAAGAGGCAGGGACUGUUCUGGCAGCUGCCAGCCGGUUCAUGUCCACGAGCCCUCCUCCUCACCAUCAGCGUGCCCCAACGGGGAGCUGGAGGCCCGAGUGCCGGGAAGUCAGCUGCCUCGGAACUGGGCAGCCUGGCCUUCACCCAGGAACCCUCAGAGGACAUGGUGACACCUCCCUCUGUCCCUGUGGAAGCUGCCCCCAGCGCCCCCGCCCCUGCCCUAUGCCAGCUGAACUGGAUGGAGCCGUUGGAAAAUAAAGGCUGAGCGGUGUUGAAAAGCAUCCAAUUGUGUCUACAGUGUGGCAGAUGUCCGCACCGCCUCGCACAGAAGGAGAGUCAGGGCGCGGCUCUCUGGCAGUGGGCGCCUGCGAGGAGCCCAGUGUAUUUAAAAAGUCCCGUCCAGGUGGGACUGGGACCCAGCAGACACCUGCUCCCCCACCGCAGAGUCCUUUCUUUCCCAUCGCAGUCUUCCAGCAGCUCCCACUGCUCUAGGAUAAAGGCCCACUGCUCGCCAGAGCUCCUGAUCCCCCACCUCCUGCUCCCCCGGCCUCCACGUUCCAGCCACGCGCACCUUCUUCUGCCUUCUAGAACACGAUGCACUCAUUUCUGCCAAAGGGUCUCUGGGUCUGCUGUUCCCUGUGGGGAGAGCUUGUCCCCAGAUCUUUUACCCGUAAGAGCCCUUCCUGAUUUAUAAUAACUUCCCCCACAGCCACCCUUGCUGCUCCCUUCCUUCCCCUGCUCUCUGUGUUUUAUUUCUGUGCCGCCGUCUGCGCCCUCCAGACGGGUCCUCGUGGCCCCAGCUCAGCCAGCCCCCAGGCAGAGACACGUUGCUGGCAGUCUGGAGCCUCGGUUCAUCCCUUCCUGUCCCACUGGCUUGCUGCCUCCUCGUGGAGCUCAAGAUGUCAUCUGGCAGCUCCAAGCUGAGCAAGAGCUGGGCUCUCCCCAUGACUCCUACCAGCUGGCCCAGCAGGCCCUGACCUCUGCCCUGCACAGCCCUGCAGAGACUCAGACGCCGAGGCCAGGCGCUUGGCCUUCACUGCAGGUGGACGUUGUUCUUGCCCUGCUGGUGGCUAUGGCCCCUUCCUGGGGUAAUUUCCAUUGGAGGAACACCCUCCCCACUUUCAAUCCAAGUGGUUCAAGUGGGGCUGUCACAUGGCCUCCCCAGUCUCAAGGUGAGCCUGUGGUGAGCCCAGCCAAUCAGAGGUUUCCUUUCCCUGGAUAUAAGGAUCAGCUCCUGGAUGGUGUGUGAUGCAAGCUGAGGCCCAUGGGGCCUUUUGUUAACACCAUACGUAAUUAACACAUCUGUAUUAGCAGCAUUCGUAAUUGCUGUUGUGAUCAGUUUCUCUAUGGAGAAGGGUGGGGUAUGAUGACAGCCUAUGAGGGAGAUGUGAGCAGCUCAGAGGGAAGGGGACAUAUCAGAGAGAGCUUCCCAUGGAAGCGAGCUUUGAGCUGAGACCUGAAGGAUAUGCAGGAAUUACCUAGGAGAAGGGGAAGGGAAGUGAAGAUGAUUCCAGAAAACAGAGUGGUGCGUGCAAAGG